GAUGAACGCUGGCGGCGUGCUUAACACAUGCAAGUCGAACGGAAAGGCUCCUGCUUGCCGGGGUACUCGAGUGGCGAACGGGUGAGUAACACGUGGGUAGUCUGCCCUGCACUUCGGGAUAAGCCUUGGAAACUGGGUCUAAUACCGGAUAGGACCACAUUUUGGAUGGUGUGGGGUAAAGUUUUUCGGUGUGGGAUGAGCUCGCGGCCUAUCAUCUUGUUGGUGGGGUAAUGCCUACCAAGGCGUCGACGGGUAGCCGGCCUGAGAGGGUGUACGGCCACAUUGGGACUGAGAUACGGCCCAGACUCCUACGGGAGGCAGCAGUGGGGAAUAUUGCACAAUGGGCGCAAGCCUGAUGCAGCGACGCCGCGUGGGGGAUGACGGCCUUCGGGUUGUAAACUGCUUUCGCUAGGGACGAAGCGCAAGUGACGGUACCUGGAGAAGAAGCACCGGCUAACUACGUG
rnacentral:rRNA from 1 species